AUUGAACGCUGGCGGCAGGCCUAACACAUGCAAGUCGAGCGGAUGAAGGGAGCUUGCUCCUGGAUUCAGCGGCGGACGGGUGAGUAAUGCCUAGGAAUCUGCCUGGUAGUGGGGGAUAACGUCCGGAAACGGGCGCUAAUACCGCAUACGUCCUGAGGGAGAAAGUGGGGGAUCUUCGGACCUCACGCUAUCAGAUGAGCCUAGGUCGGAUUAGCUAGUUGGUGGGGUAAAGGCCUACCAAGGCGACGAUCCGUAACUGGUCUGAGAGGAUGAUCAGUCACACUGGAACUGAGACACGGUCCAGACUCCUACGGGAGGCAGCAGUGGGGAAUAUUGGACAAUGGGCGAAAGCCUGAACCAGCCAUGCCGCGUGUGUGAAGAAGGUCUUCGGAUUGUAAAGCACUUUAAGUUGGGAGGAAGGGCAGUAAGUUAAUACCUUGCUGUCUUGACGUUACCAACAGAAUAAGCACCGGCUAACUUCGUG
rnacentral:rRNA from 1 species